CUUCUUACACUGACUGCAAGAUGAUCAAGACUGUAAUUGUACUGGUUUGCACCGCUCUUCUUCUGGCAUUUGCGGGAGCCAAUCCUGAAGCCGAACCAGGUUUUGGUGGACAUGGAGGAUUUGGACACGGUGGAUUCGGACGUGGAGGCUUCGGACACGGCGGAUUCGGAGGCUUCGGACACGGUGGAUUUGGAGGUUUCGGACACGGGGGAUAUGGCCGCUAAAGCAAAGCUGUAUUCAAAGGCAAUGAAUCUGAAAUCAAGAGUUAAAUAUGAAAUUACGUAGAAA
rnacentral:lncRNA from 1 species